rnacentral:rRNA from 2 species
AAAACGACUCUCGGCAACGGAUAUCUCGGCUCUCGCAUCGAUGAAGAACGUAGCGAAAUGCGAUACUUGGUGUGAAUUGCAGAAUCCCGUGAACCAUCGAGUCUUUGAACGCAAGUUGCGCCCAAAGCCAUCCGGCCGAGGGCACGUCUGCCUGGGCGUCAAUC